rnacentral:rRNA from 2 species
UGGAAUGGCGGGUCUAUACAUGCAAGUCGAGCGAACUGAUUAGGAGCUUGCUUCUAUGACGUUAGCGGCGGACGGGUGAGUAACACGUGGGCAACCUGCCUUAUAAGACUGGGAUAACUUCGGGAAACCGAAGCUAAUACCGGAUAGGAUCUUCUCCUUCAUGGGAGAUGAUUGAAAGAUGGUUUCGGCUGUCACUUACAGAUGGGCCCGCGGUGCAUUAGCUAGUUGGUGAGGUAACGGCUCACCAAGGCAACGAUGCAUAGCCGACCUGAGAGGGUGAUCGGCCACACUGGGACUGAGACACGGCCCAGACUCCUACGGGAGGCAGCAGUAGGGAAUCUUCCGCAAUGGACGAAAGUCUGACGGAGCAACGCCGCGUGAGUGAUGAAGGCUUUCGGGUCGUAAAACUCUGUUGUUAGGGAAGAACAAGUACAAGAGUAACUGCUUGUACCUUGACGGUACCUAACCAGAAAGCCACGGCUAACUACGUGCCAGCAGCCGCGGUAAUACGUAGGUGGCAAGCGUUAUCCGGAAUUAUUGGGCGUAAAGCGCGCGCAGGCGGUUUCUUAAGUCUGAUGUGAAAGCCCACGGCUCAACCGUGGAGGGUCAUUGGAAACUGGGGAACUUGAGUGCAGAAGAGAAAAGCGGAAUUCCACGUGUAGCGGUGAAAUGCGUAGAGAUGUGGAGGAACACCAGUGGCGAAGGCGGCUUUUUGGUCUGUAACUGACGCUGAGGCGCGAAAGCGUGGGGAGCAAACAGGAUUAGAUACCCUGGUAGUCCACGCCGUACACGAUGAGUGCUAAGUGUUAGAGGGUUCCCGCCCUUUAUUGCUGCAGCUAACGCAUUAAGCACUCCGCCUGCGGGAGUACGGUCGCCAGACUGAAUUUCAAAUGGAAUUGAUGGAGCCCGCACAGCCGGUGGAUCAGUGGUUUAUUUCGAAUGCAACGCGAGAACCUUAACAAGGCUUGACUUCCUCUGACACUUCUAACAGUAUAUUGUUUCUCUUCGCGCGGACAGAGUGACAAGGACGUUCAUUGUCUUUCGUUCGUCUUCUGUCUCAGAGAAUGUUUAGUUAAGUCCAAGCAUCUAGUACAACCUGGACCUUAGUAUGCCAUAAGUUUCAUUUUGUCU